rnacentral:rRNA from 1 species
UACGUAGGGUGCAAGCGUUGUCCGGAAUUAUUGGGCGUAAAGAGCUCGUAGGCGGUCUGUCGCGUCGGCUGUGAAAACCCGGGGGCUCAACCCCCGGGCCUGCAGUCGAUACGGGCAGACUAGAGUGCGGUAGGGGAGACUGGAAUUCCUGGUGUAGCGGUGAAAUGCGCAGAUAUCAGGAGGAACACCGGUGGCGAAGGCGGGUCUCUGGGCCGUAACUGACGCUGAGGAGCGAAAAGCGUGGGAGCGAACAGG